rnacentral:rRNA from 1 species
UACGUAGGGCGCGAGCGUUGUCCGGAAUUAUUGGGCGUAAAGAGCUCGUAGGCGGUUUGUCGCGUCUGCUGUGAAAACGCGAGGCUCAACCUCGCGCCUGCAGUGGGUACGGGCAGACUAGAGUGCGGUAGGGGAGAUUGGAAUUCCUGGUGUAGCGGUGGAAUGCGCAGAUAUCAGGAGGAACACCGAUGGCGAAGGCAGAUCUCUGGGCCGUAACUGACGCUGAGGAGCGAAAGCGUGGGGAGCGAACAGG